GACGAACGCUGGCGGCGUGCUUAACACAUGCAAGUCGAACGGAAAGGCCCUGCUUUUGUGGGGUGCUCGAGUGGCGAACGGGUGAGUAACACGUGAGUAACCUGCCCUUGACUUUGGGAUAACUUCAGGAAACUGGGGCUAAUACCGGAUAGGAGCUCCUGCUGCAUGGUGGGGGUUGGAAAGUUUCGGCUGUUGGGGAUGGACUCGCGGCUUAUCAGCUUGUUGGUGGGGUAGUGGCUUACCAAGGCUUUGACGGGUAGCCGGCCUGAGAGGGUGGCCGGCCACAUUGGGACUGCGAUACGGCCCAGACUCCUACGGGAGGCAGCAGUGGGGAAUAUUGCACAAUGGGCGGAAGCCUGAUGCAGCAACGCCGCGUGCGGGAUGACGGCCUUCGGGUUGUAAACCGCUUUCGACUGUGACGAAGCGUGAGUGACGGUAAUGGGUAAAGAAGCACCGGCUAACUACGUG
rnacentral:rRNA from 1 species